GCGCGCGCAGGCGGUUCCUUAAGUCUGAUGUGAAAGCCCCCGGCUCAACCGGGGAGGGUCAUUGGAAACUGGGGAACUUGAGUGCAGAAGAGGAGAGCGGAAUUCCACGUGUAGCGGUGAAAUGCGUAGAGAUGUGGAGGAACACCAGUGGCGAAGGCGGCUCUCUGGUCUGUAACUGACGCUGAGGCGCGAAAGCGUGGGGAGCGAACAGGAUUAGAUACCCUGGUAGUCCACGCCGUAAACGAUGAGUGCUAAGUGUUAGAGGGUUUCCGCCCUUUAGUGCUGCAGCAAACGCAUUAAGCACUCCGCCUGGGGAGUACGGCCGCAAGGCUGAAACUCAAAGGAAUUGACGGGGGCCCGCACAAGCGGUGGAGCAUGUGGUUUAAUUCGAAGCAACGCGAAGAACCUUACCAGGUCUUGACAUCCUCUGACAACCCUAGAGAUAGGGCGUUCCCCUUCGGGGGACAGAGUGACAGGUGGUGCAUGGUUGUCGUCAGCUCGUGUCGUGAGAUGUUGGGUUAAGUCCCGCAACGAGCGCAACCCUUGAUCUU
rnacentral:rRNA from 2 species